AUUUUAACGGCCACGGUACCCUAACCGUGCGAAGGUAGCAUAAUCACUUGUUCUUUAAAUGGGGACUUGUAUCAACGGCAUCACGAGGGUUCUACUGUCUCCUUUAUCUAAUCAGUGAAACUAAUCUCCCCGUGAAGAAGCGAGGAUAACACUAUAAGACGAGAAGACCCCAUGGAGCUUUAAACCCAAAUAUAUCCCCAAUCCCUACAACCAUUUAAUCCUUUGGGUCCUAUAUACUUGGUUUUAGGUUGGGGCGACCACGGAGUAAAACUAAACCUCCAUGAUGUACGGAACAACCUCCUUAUCUAAGAGCCACAGCUCUAAGAAUUAGCACACUAUCAUAAAAUGACCCAUUAUUGAUCAACGAACCAAGUUACCCUGGGGAUAACAGCGCAAUCCAUUUUAAGAGCCCCUAUCGAC
rnacentral:rRNA from 1 species